GUCCAUCUUGAUCCCUGUAAAUCGCUUAACCAUUUACCAACAUAAAGAAAUGAAUAGAUCGAUGGAUUUCGUAUAUUUGUAAAAUUACAUUAUGACUGUAAUGUAAAAAUGGUUCUUUUAUAUGUUAUAGUCUUAUAGAAUGAAUGUAAUUGUGGAUCUACAUCGAUGACUUUUUUUUUUCAAUAUGAGUUUGUGUGGUUUUUAAUAAACAAAUGAAUCAAAUAAAGAAAUCUGGGAUAAAAAAGCGAGUGAGCAUGACAGGCAAAGAUCUAAGAACAAGAAGAGGUGGAGUGGGGAAGCCAUGGGAGGGGAAAAGAAGAAAUAGAGGUCAUCACACUACGUUCACGUGCAUGAGCAUGUGAGAUUUUGUUGACGUGGCAACACGUGGUUCCCAGUGACCACACUCGUGCGGUGUAACAUUGUUCCUCCACGACCAGACAUCCCACUUAUCAACAAUCAUUUGAACACACUUCUCACGCGCUCUAUCGUCAGCGU